GGGGCCCGCUGGCAACUAAUCAAACUUGAGAGAUCCCUGACCUCUUGGCAAUUCAAGGAAUUGGCCUGAGAUAGAAAGAGGCCAAGCCGGAGGGGUGCAAUCCAAUUUUUAUUUUUAUUUUUUAUUUUGCAGGAAAAGGCUGCAGUUUCGUGCAAGGCUUGAGAAGGUGGGAGAUCCGAUGCUGUUCCUUCUAAGUCGUGGCAGUCAGCUGGAAAAUCUGGGAGUGGGUCUCAAAGAUCCUGGGAUCCAGAGCUCUCCCUGAAAGGAUUCUGCAAGGAUUCUCCGAAGAACUUUUCCAGAAGGCGAUGCCAUCCAGACCCCUCUAACCACGUGGCUGUACCCAUGGCAGAGCUUUGGUCCCCUGAGAUGAAGCCCAGGACGGGCCGUGCCCCCAGAUCUUCCUCCCCGCCUGGCCUCUACCAAGUCCUCUGGGCCAUGGCCAUCGUGGGCCUCUCUGCCAGCACUCCACUCUUAUGCCAGCAGGAAUCGAUCCGGCUUCUGGACACCUUCAUGAAAGAGAUGGGCAAUUCCAGCAGCAUCGGGCCUCUCUACACCCCAGAGGACAUCACGGUAGGUGCCUCCUGGGCGCCUCACGGGUGAAACGGGAC